CAGUAUUAACAUCUUUUCUUUAUUAAGCUCUUUGUUGCUGUGAAGAAAAACUGAAGACCUUUUUGAUUUGUUUGCAUUUUUAUAAGACAAUUGUGUAUCCAGUUCCCAGUCUCUAAGCCUCAUGAAUUAAGUGCAGGCAUUGCAGCAUGACGGAUCUCACAAGACAUCAUCUAGAAUCACAGGAAGACGUAAAAAUCUUACAUUUGAUUUUUCUUAAAAAUGCAUCAUUUUCUUCCAAAGCCGUAACUCUAACAGUUAUAGAGAGAAAAAUAAGGAUGUCAGCACUUUCUUUUUUCAGAAAAAGGGUACUUUUCCAAGCUCAGUUCCUGGUUUCAAAGGGACAUGACUCACAUUUUCUCGCAUGCCUGGACACGACAGAACGGUUUGGUAGGACACAGACAUGAGUGUGACAGCUUGAAAUCCCCAGUCCAUGGAAGAAGCAAUCAAUUUUCAUCUUCCUCAUUGAUGAGCUCCUCUGCAGUAUGAGGUUAUAUAGGCCGUUUGUGUGGAAAGCCUUCAUUUCUGGCUGCCAUGUUGAAGAACCUUGGGAAGACUUGACUUCUUUCAUGCUCAUCAGUUCCAAAAACCUGACCUCCUUAGAGGAUGUCGUGGGGUGAGUGACAAAAAUAGCUCAUUGCUACUGAAAGUGCUGCCCUUGGGAGCGCUGUGAGGAAGGCAGCACGUUGGGUGCCAUGGCCAUUGGCAGCCCGGAGAAAGAGGCUGCUGGUGGCUGCAGGGCUCCUGUGCUGCUGGAAGUUGUUCACACUUGAGCCUUCCUGGGAAAGCAAGGGCAAUCUAAAUUUCUAAUGCAGCAAAACAAGCAGGAAAAAGAGAAAUCAAAGCCUACCUUCAAAGGCCCCUUUUAUGCCUCAUUAAAAAACUGAGAAAGACCCAAGUGGGGUCUAACCACUCAGUCCUUUUAAUCUCCUUAAGUCUGCUGUGGGCUUGCUUGGUUUUUUGGUUUUUUUUUCCUCCGGUUUGUCACAAACCUGUCACAGCAAUACGUGCUGACAGCCAUGCAACAACAUUGCUGAGUCCCCAGUUCUACACCAGGCAGCAUGGCCUAAUGCGGCCUGCCGCCCAGGAGCAACAAGCUCCUCUUCCCACCCACAGACACCUUCUAGCUCAGGCAGGCUGCAGACCCACUUUCUGCCCUGGACAUUUAUCCAGGUACUUAGCAGAAUUUGUUAUUUUUGCAAGCUUUGACAAUCUCUAGCAAUCUCAAAAGUGACUGUGACUCUGUAUCUGAGAAAGAAAUGGAGAAGUCUCCAGUGGGCAGUCAUGGUUUGGCUACUAUGAUAUUGAAGAGCCACACAUUCUCCUACAGCCUCUACAAGUAUGCAUCAUUUAAAAUUUAUUUGACUUCUUCCAGCUUUUUCUUUCUUUCUUUUUUUUUUUUUUUUUUUUUUUUUUUUGGACUUAUAUAGAUCUGGUUUGAUAAUUGUUUUCUUCCUUGGAAUACUUUGCCUUCACAAAAGUUCAUUUCUACUCAGAGACCAGAUGCAUCCUCUAAUAACAAUUACGUAGCACAGAGCAAUAAACCUAUUGUUUAGCCCAGUAAAUCAGGCCGUAUAAUCAGAGAAGGCAGACUGUUAUUUCUUCACUGUACAUUUGUAAUGCUUUGUUUGACUUCUUAUAGGCUCAGGCAUAUAUACAUACAUACACAAAUAUAUAUGUUUCUAUGCUUUGGGCAUGGCAAUCUGCAGAACAAAAAGAGCAGAGCCCCAUGUUAGUGAAGGGCUGCUGAUCCAGCAUGACAGUGCCCAUCCUUGUAAGUCCUGACCAUGGGGCCUCUGAGCCCCCAUCCUACAGUCCCAAGGUUGAGCAAUGGGAGGUUCACUGGUGCUGUGAAAUUGAACACCUUAGCAAGAAUGCUCCCCACGAUACAAGAAAAUGUGUCAGAGAAUAAUAGAAUAGUAGUAAAAUAGAAUAAUAGUAUAAUAGAACUCUUCAUUAGAAGGACCCAUAGAGUUCACCUAGUCCAGCUCCCUUGCAAUGAACGGGGACACCAACAGCUAGAUCAGGUGCUCAGAACCCCGUCCAGCCUGGCCUUGAAUGUCUCCUGGAAAAAGGCAUUCACCACUCUCUGGGCAACCUGUUCCAGUGCUUCACCACCCUUACUGUAAAAAACUUCUUUAUUAUACCCAGUCUAAAUCUCUCGUCUUUUAGUUUGAAGCCAUUUCCCCUUGUCCUAUCACAGCAACUAAAUAGUGUGUCACCCCCAUUAAAUGCAUUUCUCAGGGUCACGUCUCUCUGGGGCACUCCUGGAUGAGUGGCUCUUUAUCUUGCAGGCUUCCAGCACAAGAACUAGCUCAGCUAAGUCUUUUCUCGUAUAAAUAGCCUGUUGGCACAUAAACCAUGCUCAGGGGCUGCAUUCUACCAAUAAAUUCUGGUUUCUGCUCUGAACAUCCACCUAUCCCUUCAGCAACAAGUCUUCCAACCAUGCUUUUUCACAACAGCCUUCACUCUUGCCUUGCAGCUGUCUGUUGCAAUGUUAUACUGUGGGAAUAGGAUGUAUCUAGUUUUAUGUUUGGCAGUCGGCACUGCAGAAGGUCCCUGACAUCCGUAUUCUGACUCCUGCAAUGGUACCUGUAGUAGGCUACCAGCACUUGUUGUUCUGUCCCUUGAACGUGCCCCACUGUUUAAAUUCUUCCUGUGCAAUCUUCAUUUCCCUCCCCUAUAGCUUAUAGCUGCAUGGGUAACUAUUAAUAGCACAUUGCUGCACUGGAAAUGCAGAGCCUGGGGUACGAAGAACUGAGAGCUUUUGACACUUUACCAAAAGCCGGUCCAGGCUGUCCCCUUAUCAAAAGUGCCAUCCCACUGCAGUUUACAUGGUGUGCCCAGCUGCAUGUGCAAAUCAUAUCAGCACAAGUCCCGUGGGCUCUGUCAAGGAGCUGGGCAGCAAAGCCUCACUCUGCAUCAGUCUGGCUGCCCUCUGCCCUGCAGAUAGGAAGCCUCAGCUCCCAGAGCCUGAAAACUCUGUCAGGUUACCGACAAAGAGGAAAAGGCACUGGGGAGUCAAGAGAUUCAGGCUUGUUUCCCAGAUUUGAAACAGUUGUCUCUCAUGGCCUUGUGCAAAAUGCUUUUUCUCCACUCCCUCCGGGUCCUUAUCAGGAAAACUGGAACAGCAGCUUCUCGACUCCCUUCUGUCCUGCCUGCCCCGGUGCUAAUGGGAAGAGUUUUGCUGAACGUGGUAGAGCACAGCCCAGCACAAGGAGUUCUCACAAGGGCAGUGAUGGGCCCACGUCCUAAACACCACCAUAAGCAACCAGGUUAGGAGCCAACAUUCCCUGCUUAAUAUCAAACUCUGCUUUUUCUGAUAAUGUGGUAUAUGCAGAGAUUGUAUUCUGCACUGAAAAGCUGCCCUGGGGUUGUGAGAGAUGUGCAGCCCUGUAGCCUCAGGAUGCUCUAGGUUCUCUGUCAGGUUUUUAUGGGAACACAGCAGGCGUGGUUUAUAUGGGUACAGAGCAUGUCUAGGAGGAGCAUGGCAUUCACAUGGUGAUGUGGGACACCAGCAGUAGAGCUUGCAGGGCUGCACACCUCUGUGGUGCCCACUGACCCUACUCAUAUAUUCCCAGACCCUUGAGGAGAACAUCAUCGAGUUCCUAAUUCUUUUG
ensembl:lncRNA